rnacentral:rRNA from 1 species
UGAUGGCCUACCAAGGCGACGACGGGUAGCCGGCCUGAGAGGGCGACCGGCCACACUGGGACUGAGACACGGCCCAGACUCCUACGGGAGGCAGCAGUGGGGAAUAUUGCGCAAUGGGCGAAAGCCUGACGCAGCGACGCCGCGUGGGGGAUGACGGCCUUCGGGUUGUAAACCUCUUUCGCCAUCGACGAAGCCUUUGGGUGACGGUAGGUGGAGAAGAAGCACCGGCCAACUACGCGCCAGCAGCCGCGGUAAUACGUAGGGUGCGAGCGUUGUCCGGAAUUAUUGGGCGUAAAGAGCUCGUAGGCGGCGUGUCACGUCGAUCGUGAAAACUUGGGGCUUAACUCUGAGCUUGCGGUCGAUACGGGCAUCACUGGAGUUCGGCAGGGGAGACUGGAAUUCCUGGUGUAGCGGUGAAAUGCGCAGAUAUCAGGAGGAACACCGGUGGCGAAGGCGGGUCUCUGGGCCGAUACUGACGCUGAGGAGCGAAAGCGUGGGGAGCGAACAGGAUUAGAUACCCUGGUAGUCCACGCCGUAAACGGUGGGCGCUAGGUGUGGGGGCCAUCCCACGGUCUCUGUGCCGCAGCUAACGCAUUAAGCG